rnacentral:misc_RNA from 1 species
CAAUAAGAGUGUUUAUGGCACUCUUCAAAAAAUCCAUACCCACCUUGUGUGCAACGUAAGAAGAAAAAAAGAAGAUGCGAGUCAUGGGGAAACCCAAGUCUUGCUCCCUUUCUUUUCUCUUUUCCACAUACACCUUUCUAUUAGUUCCUAUUGUCUGAAGCUGUUAGAGAAUGACUAAUUCUUAAACA